GAUGAACGCUGGCGGCGUGCCUAAUACAUGCAAGUCGAGCGAACAGACGAGGAGCUUGCUCCUCUGACGUUAGCGGCGGACGGGUGAGUAACACGUGGAUAACCUACCUAUAAGACUGGGAUAACUUCGGGAAACAGGAGCUAAUACCGGAUAAUAUAUUGAACCGCAUGGUUCAAUAGUGAAAGACGGUUUUGCUGUCACUUAUAGAUGGAUCCGCGCCGCAUUAGCUAGUUGGUAAGGUAACGGCUUACCAAGGCAACGAUGCGUAGCCGACCUGAGAGAGUGAUCCGCCACACUGGAACUGCAGCAAGGUCCAGACUCCUACGGGAGGCAGCAGUAGGGAAUCUUCCGCAAUGGGCGAAAGCCUGACGGAGCAACGCCGCGUGAGUGAUGAAGGUCUUCGGAUCGUAAAACUCUGUUAUUAGGGAAGUACAAAUGUGUACGUAACUAUGCACGUCUUGACGGUACCUAAUCAGAAAGCCACGGCUAACUACGUG
rnacentral:rRNA from 1 species